rnacentral:pre_miRNA from 1 species
UUACUACUCCCUCCGUUCUAAAUUACUCGUCGCAGAAAUGGAUGUAUCUAUAACUAAAAUACAUCUAGAUACAUCCAUACCUGCGACAAGUAAUUUGGGACGGAGGGAAUACUCC